rnacentral:rRNA from 1 species
GGAAGGAUCAUUAUUGAAAUAAACCCUGAGCAGGCUGUUCUGCUGGUCCCUUGGACAUGUGCACGCCUCGCUCGUCUUUAUUUUUCCAACUGUGCACAUAUUGUAGGCCUGGAGCAUUUCUUAUCCAUUUGAAUAGAUUGAGGACUGCCAGUUGUGUGGCUUUGCCUUGUGUUUCCAGGUCUAUGUUGUAAUACAUUUUCACAAUUGUUUCAGAAUGGUCGAGUACAAAAAAAAAUAUACAACUUUCAGCAACGGAUCUCUUGGCUCUCGCAUCGAUGAAGAACGCAGCGAAAUGCGAUAAGUAAUGUGAAUUGCAGAAUUCAGUGAAUCAUCGAAUCUUUGAACGCAUCUUGCGCUCCUUGGUAUUCCGAGGAGCAUGCCUGUUUGAGUGUCAUUAAAAAUUCUCAACCAUGCUGGUUCUUCUGGUGUGGCUUGGAUUUUGGGGGCUUUUGCAGGCUUUUUGUCUGCUCCCCUGAAAAGAAUCAGCGGUAUCUUGACUACCCUUGGGUGUGAUAAAUCAUCUAUGCCAUUGGUAUGCAGGACCCUGCUCAUAACAGAGUGUUGACAGAUUUGACCUCAAAUCAGGUAGGACUACCCGCUGAACUUAAGCAUAUCAAUAAGCGGAGGAAAAGAAACUAACAAGGAUUCCCCUAGUAACUGCGAGUGAAGCGGGAAAAGCUCAAAUUUAAAAUCUGGCGGUUCUUGACCGUCCGAGUUGUAAUCUAGAGAAGUGUUACCUGUGCUGGACCGUGUACAAGUCUCCUGGAAUGGAGCAUCACAGAGGGUGAGAAUCCCGUCUUUGACAUGGACUGCCUGCACGCUGUGGUGCGCUCUCGAAGAGUCGAGUUGUUUGGGAAUGCAGCUCAAAACGGGUGGUAAAUGCCAUCUAAAGCUAAAUAUUGGCGAGAGAC